GACGUAGGGCGCGAGCGUUGUCCGGAAUCAUUGGGCGUAAAGAGCUCGUAGGCGGCUCAGUAAGUCGGGUGUGAAACCCCCAGGCUCAACCUGGGGACGCCACCCGAUACUGCUGUGGCUAGAGUCCAGUAGGGGAGUGUGGAAUUCCCGGUGUAGCGGUGAAAUGCGCAGAUAUCGGGAGGAACACCAGCGGCGAAGGCGGCACUCUGGGCUGGAACUGACGCUGAGGAGCGAAAGCGUGGGUAGCAAACAGG
rnacentral:rRNA from 1 species